rnacentral:rRNA from 1 species
GACAGAGGAUGCAAGCGUUAUCCGGAAUGAUUGGGCGUAAAGCGUCUGUAGGUGGCUUUUUAAGUCCGCCGUCAAAUCCCAGGGCUCAACCCUGGACAGGCGGUGGAAACUACCAAGCUGGAGUACGGUAGGGGCAGAGGGAAUUUCCGGUGGAGCGGUGAAAUUCGUAGAUAUCGAGAGGAACACCGGCGGCGAAGGCGGCCAACUGGACGAAUACUGACGCUGAGACUCGAAAGCGUGGGGAGCAAACAGGG